rnacentral:rRNA from 1 species
UACGUAGGGUGCGAGCGUUGUCCGGAAUUAUUGGGCGUAAAGAGCUCGUAGGCGGUCUGUCGCGUCGGUCGUGAAAACUUGGGGCUUAACCCUGAGCUUGCGGUCGAUACGGGCAUGACUGGAGUUCGGUAGGGGAGGCUGGAAUUCCUGGUGUAGCGGUGAAAUGCGCAGAUAUCAGGAGGAACACCGGUGGCGAAGGCGGGUCUCUGGGCCGAUACUGACGCUGAGGAGCGAAAGCGUGGGGAGCGAACAGG